UACGGAGGGGGCUAGCGUUGUUCGGAAUUACUGGGCGUAAAGCGCACGUAGGCGGCUUUGUAAGUUAGAGGUGAAAGCCCGGGGCUCAACUCCGGAAUUGCCUUUUAGACUGCAUCGCUUGAAUCAUGGAGAGGUGAGUGGAAUUCCGAGUGUAGAGGUGAAAUUCGUAGAUAUUCGGAAGAACACCAGUGGCGAAGGCGGCUCACUGGACAUGUAUUGACGCUGAGGUGGCGAAAAGCGUGGGGAGCAAACAGG
rnacentral:rRNA from 1 species